rnacentral:rRNA from 1 species
GACGAACGCUGGCGGCGUGCUUAACACAUGCAAGUCGAACGGUGAAGCGAGUGCUUGCACUCGUGGAUCAGUGGCGAACGGGUGAGUAACACGUGAGUAACCUGCCCAUCACUCUGGGAUAAGCACUGGAAACGGUGUCUAAUACUGGAUACGACCAACCCUUGCAUGGGGUGUUGGUGGAAAGAUUUAUCGGUGAUGGAUGGGCUCGCGGCCUAUCAGCUUGUUGGCGGGGUAGUGGCCAACCAAGGCGACGACGGGUAGCCGGCCUGAGAGGGUGACCGGCCACACUGGGACUGAGACACGGCCCAGACUCCUACGGGAGGCAGCAGUGGGGAAUAUUGCACAAUGGGCGAAAGCCUGAUGCAGCGACGCCGCGUGAGGGAUGACGGCCUUCGGGUUGUAAACCUCUUUCAGCAGGGAAGAAGCGAAAGUGACGGUACCUGCAGAAGAAGCACCGGCUAACUACGUG